rnacentral:rRNA from 1 species
GCAUAUCAAUAAGCGGAGGAAAAGAAACCAACAGGGAUUGCCCCAGUAACGGCGAGUGAAGCGGCAAGAGCUCAAAUUUGAAAGCUGGCUCCUUCGGGGUCCGCAUUGUAAUUUGCAGAGGAUGCUUCGGGAGCGGUCCCCAUCUAAGUGCCCUGGAACGGGCCGUCAUAGAGGGUGAGAAUCCCGUCUGGGAUGGGGUGCCCGCGCCCGUGUGAAGCUCCUUCGACGAGUCGAGUUGUUUGGGAAUGCAGCUCUAAUUGGGUGGUAAAUUUCAUCUAAAGCUAAAUAUUGGCCGGAGACCGAUAGCGCACAAGUAGAGUGAUCGAAAGAUGAAAAGCACUUUGAAAAGAGAGUUAAACAGCACGUGAAAUUGUUGAAAGGGAAGCGCUUGCGAUCAGACUCGCCCGCGGGGUUCAGCCGGCAUUCGUGCCGGUGUACUUCCCCGUGGGCGGGCCAGCGUCGGUUUGGGCGGCCGGUCAAAGGCCCCUGGAAUGUAACGCCUCUCGGGGCGUCUUAUAGCCAGGGGUGCCAUGCGGCCUGCCCGGACCGAGGAACGCGCUUCGGCUCGGACGCUGG